AUUGAACGCUGGCGGCAGGCUUAACACAUGCAAGUCGAGCGGGGUGAUGGUGCUUGCACUAUCACUUAGCGGCGGACGGGUGAGUAAUGCUUAGGAAUCUGCCUAUUAGUGGGGGACAACAUCUCGAAAGGGAUGCUAAUACCGCAUACGUCCUACGGGAGAAAGCAGGGGAUCACUUGUGACCUUGCGCUAAUGGAUGAGCCUAAGUCGGAUUAGCUAGUUGGUGGGGUAAGGGCCUACCAAGGCGACGAUCUGUAGCGGGUCUGAGAGGAUGAUCCGCCACACUGGGACUGAGACACGGCCCAGACUCCUACGGGAGGCAGCAGUGGGGAAUAUUGGACAAUGGGGGGAACCCUGAUCCAGCCAUGCCGCGUGUGUGAAGAAGGCCUUAUGGUUGUAAAGCACUUUAAGCGAGGAGGAGGCUCUUUUGGUUAAUACCCAAGAUGAGUGGACGUUACUCGCAGAAUAAGCACCGGCUAACUCUGUGCCAGCCGCCGCAGUAA
rnacentral:rRNA from 1 species